rnacentral:rRNA from 1 species
CGGGUGCACUGAUCCGGCCGGGCCUUUCCCUCUGUGGAACCCCAUGGCCUUCACUGGCUGUGCGGGGGAAACAGGACUUUUACUGUGAAAAAAUUAGAGUGCUCCAGGCAGGCCUAUGCUCGAAUACAUUAGCAUGGAAUAAUAGAAUAGGACGCGUGGUUCUAUUUUGUUGGUUUCUAGGACCGCCGUAAUGAUUAAUAGGGGCAGUCGGGGGCAUCAGUAUUCAAUUGUCAGAGGUGAAAUUCUUGGAUCUAUUGAAGACUAACUACUGCGAAAGCAUUUGCCAAGGAUGUUUUCAUUGAUAAGGAACGAAAGUUAGGGGAUCGAAGACGAUCAGAUACCGUCGUAGUCUUAACUAUAAACUAUGCCGACUAGGGAUCGGACGAUGUUAUUUCUUGACGCGUUCGGCACCUUUCGAGAAAUCAAAGUGCUUGGGCUCCAGGGGGAGUAUGGUCGCAAGGCUGAAGCUUAAAGAAAUUGACGGAAGGGCACCACCAGGGGUGGAACCUGCGGCUUAAUUUGACUCAACACGGGGAAACUCACCAGGUCCAGACACAGUGAGGAUUGACAGAUUGAGAGCUCUUUCUUGAUUCUGUGGGUGGUAGUGCAUGGCCGUUCUUAGUUGGUGGAGUGAUUUGUCUGCUUAAUUGCGAUAACGAACGAGACCUUAACCUGCUAAAUAGCCCGUACUGCUCUGGCAGUUCGCCGGCUUCUUAGAGGGACUAUCGG